rnacentral:rRNA from 1 species
AUUGAACGCUGGCGGCAGGCCUAACACAUGCAAGUCGCACGAGUGGCGGACGGGUGAGUAAUGUAUGGGAAACUGACCGAUAGAGGGGGAUAACUACUGGACACGGUGGCUAAUACCGCAUACUAUCGGAUGGACCCAUAUGGGCUUAGCGAGUAGGUGGGGUAAAGGAUAACCUAGGCGACGAUCUCUAGCUGGUAGGUGAGGAUGACCAUCCACACUGGACCUGAGACACGUUCCAGACUCCUAAGGUAGGCAGCAGUGGGGAAUAUUGCAAAAUGGGCGAAAGCCCUAUGAAGCCAUGCCGCGUGUAUGAAGAAGGCCUUCGGUGUGUAAAGUACUUUCAGCGGUGAGGCGUUACUCGCAGAAGAAGCACCGGCUAACUCCGUGCCAGCAGCCGCGGUAAUUC